AACGAACGCUGGCGGCAGGCUUAACACAUGAAAGUCGAACGCCCCUUACGGGGAGUGGCAGACGGGUGAGUAACGCGUGGGAAUCUACCGUGCCCUGCGGAAUAGCUCCGGGAAACUGGAAUUAAUACCGCAUACGCCCUACGGGGGAAAGAUUUAUCGGGGUAUGAUGAGCCCGCGUUGGAUUAGCUAGUUGGUGGGGUAAAGGCCUACCAAGGCGACGAUCCAUAGCUGGUCUGAGAGGAUGAUCAGCCACAUUGGGACUGAGACACGGCCCAAACUCCUACGGGAGGCAGCAGUGGGGAAUAUUGGACAAUGGGCGCAAGCCUGAUCCAGCCAUGCCGCGUGAGUGAUGAAGGCCUUAGGGUUGUAAAGCUCUUUUGGCGGGGAAGAUAAUGACGGUACCCGCAGAAUAAGCUCCGGCUAACUUCGUGCCAGCCGCCGCGGUAACAC
rnacentral:rRNA from 1 species